AGCGAACGCUGGCGGCAGGCCUAACACAUGCAAGUCGAGCGGCCGUAGCAAUACGGCAGCGGCAGACGGGAGAGUAACACGUGGGAACGCGCCCUUCGGUUCGGGAUAACCCAGGGAAACUUGGGCUAAUACCGGAUACGCCCUUACGGGGAAAGAUUUAUUGCCGAAGGAACGGCCCGCGUCCGAUUAGCUAGUUGGUGAGGUAACGGCUCACCAAGGCGACGAUCGGUAGCUGGUCUGAGAGGAUGACCAGCCCCACUGGGACUGAGACACGGCCCAGACUCCUACGGGAGGCAGCAGUGGGGAAUAUUGGACAAUGGGCGCAAGCCUGAUCCAGCCAUGCCGCGUGGGUGAUGAAGGCCCUAGGGUUGUAAAGCCCUUUCAGCGGGGAAGAUAAUGACGGUACCCGCAGAAGAAGCCCCGGCUAACUUCGUGCCAGCCGCCGCCGUAA
rnacentral:rRNA from 1 species